rnacentral:rRNA from 1 species
UUCCGUAGGGUGAACCUGCGGAAGGAUCAUUACCGAGUGUAGGGUUCCUAGCGAGCCCAACCUCCCACCCGUGUUUACUGUACCUUAGUUGCUUCGGCGGGCCCGCCAUUCAUGGCCGCCGGGGGCUCUCAGCCCCGGGCCCGCGCCCGCCGGAGACACCACGAACUCUGUCUGAUCUAGUGAAGUCUGAGUUGAUUGUAUCGCAAUCAGUUAAAACUUUCAACAAUGGAUCUCUUGGUUCCGGCAUCGAUGAAGAACGCAGCGAAAUGCGAUAACUAGUGUGAAUUGCAGAAUUCCGUGAAUCAUCGAGUCUUUGAACGCACAUUGCGCCCCCUGGUAUUCCGGGGGGCAUGCCUGUCCGAGCGUCAUUGCUGCCCAUCAAGCACGGCUUGUGUGUUGGGUCGUCGUCCCCUCUCCGGGGGGGACGGGCCCCAAAGGCAGCGGCGGCACCGCGUCCGAUCCUCGAGCGUAUGGGGCUUUGUCACCCGCUCUGUAGGCCCGGCCGGCGCUUGCCGAACGCAAAUCAAUCUUUUUCCAGGUUGACCUCGGAUCAGGUAGGGAUACCCGCUGAACUUAAGCAUAUCAAUAAGGCG